rnacentral:rRNA from 1 species
CGAGCGAGUGAUCGUAAGCAAAUCUCAAAAAUAACGUCUCAGUUCGGAUUGUAGUCUGCAACUCGACUACAUGAAGCUGGAAUCGCUAGUAAUCGCAAAUCAGCAUGUCGCGGUGAAUACGUUCCCGGGUCUUGUACACACCGCCCGUCACACCAUGGGAGUUGGAAAUGCCCGAAGUCAGUGGCCCAACCGGAAGGGGGGAGCUGCCGAAGGCAGGUUCGAUGACUGGGGUGAAGUCGUAACAAGGUAUC